GUUUGAUUCUCCGGCGGCGCCGGGAUGACCUCAUCACCCAUGAAAGCGGAAAACGGGGAGUGGAUGACGGGCAGUCAGGAGAAUAAAGGUCGCACUUCCCCCCUCCCACGUCGCCGCCUACACCGAGCACCGAGCACGGCGCUGCACGCGGGUUAAAACCCACUUUGCCCGAGUCNGGGCGGGGGAGGGCGAGGCUGAAUCCCUCCGGGACGCGGACGGCGGGCGCUCGGCUUCCAGGAGUUCCGGGAGCAGGUUGCCGCCUCCCCCUGCGCCCCGCCUGCCUCCGGGGCUCCGUCCCAACGUCACCAAAUGCCAGGCCCCGAGGCUGUCUAGGAAAGGGCGACUCCCCGCAAAUACUAGCAGCCACUCCUCAGGGGGGUCCGUCUGGCCCAGGUGCCAAUAAAGGUCAUCAGCGAUUUGAGACCGCAGCCUGGACACCCGGGGGCCUGCCUGGGAGCCUGAGGGUCGUCGCAUUCGGUGCCCCCACCAAGCAUGUUUGGAGCUGUGGUUCCCAAUGCUUUUCCUGCAGAAACCGGCAGAGGCAUGUGCCACCCACUGCCCAGGUACAGAUAUAGGAGAGUCUACAGAUUGCUUGCCUUCCCCCUCCUCUCCUGCUCCUGUCCCUUCCUGAAAGCACGUUGGAAUGGGUGCAAGUGAUGGUGACCUUAGCACCAGGAUAAUCUCCUGUCUACCGACUCCAAUUUACCUGAGAAACAAACACCCUAUGUGCAAACCAGAGAUGUUUCUUACUUGUAACAAAUUUUCUGUGGCAAACUUCCCAACUGGCUGAGAUAAUAUGUCCUAGCACUGUGCUUGGGAAUUAGAGCUGUG
rnacentral:lncRNA from 1 species